GUCGAGCGAACAGAUGAAGUGCUUGCACUUCUGACGUUAGCGGCGAACGGGUGAGUAACACGUAAGGAAUCUACCUAUAAGCGGGGGAUAACAUUCGGAAACGGGUGCUAAUACCGCAUAAUAUCUUCUUCCGCAUGGAAGAAGAUUGAAAGACGGCUCUGCUGUCACUUAUAGAUGACCUUGCGGUGCAUUAGUUAGUUGGUGGGGUAACGGCCUACCAAGACGAUGAUGCAUAGCCGACCUGAGAGGGUGAUCGGCCACAUUGGGACUGAGACACGGCCCAAACUCCUACGGGAGGCAGCAGUAGGGAAUCUUCCGCAAUGGGCGAAAGCCUGACGGAGCAAUGCCGCGUGAGUGAAGAAGGCCUUCGGGUCGUAAAACUCUGUUAUAAGAGAAGAACAAAUUGUAGAGUAACUGCUACAGUCUUGACGGUAUCUUAUCAGAAAGCCACGGCUAACUACGUGCCAGCAGCCGCGGUAAUACGUAGGUGGCAAGCGUUGUCCGGAUUUAUUGGGCGUAAAGGGAGCGCAGGUGGUUUCUUAAGUCUGAUGUGAAAGCCCACGGCUUAACCGUGGAGGGUCAUUGGAAACUGGGAAACUUGAGUACAGAAGAGGAAUGUGGAACUCCAUGUGUAGCGGUGGAAUGCGUAGAUAUAUGGAAGAACACCAGUGGCGAAGGCGACAUUCUGGUCUGUUACUGACACUGAGGCUCGAAAGCGUGGGGAGCAAACAGGAUUAGAUACCCUGGGUA
rnacentral:rRNA from 1 species